rnacentral:ncRNA from 1 species
UAAAAAAGAGGUAAAUUUAAAAUUAAUUUAAUUAUAUAAAGAAAAGUUUGAUUCUAGCUUUAAGAUUAAUAUAUUAAAUUGAAUACAUAUAUUUAGGUAGUAUUAUAUAUUAUACAAUAAUUGAUAUAAAAAUUUAAAAAUGAAUAAGAUAAUUUUGUGCCAGCAUCUGCGGUUAUACAAAAUGUUUUUUUAAUUAAAUUAGUUAAUUAAAAUUAGUUAUUUGGUUAUUUUAUUUAUUAAAUAUUUUAAAUUGUAGGUGAAAUUAUUUAAUUUAUUAGCAGAUAUAAUCUAUUUUUUAUAAAGAUUUCUGUAAAACCUGGAUUAGAUACCCAGUUAUUUUAUUUAUUAAAUUUAACUUAAGUAGUAAUAAAAUUAUUAAACUUAAAGAAUUUGGCGGUAAUUUAUUCUUUUUAGAGGAACCUGUUAUUUGAUCGAUAGUCCACGUAUACCUCACUUUUUUAAGGGCUUAUAUAUCGUUGUUUAAAGAGUUAAUUAGAAAGUUAAUUCUAUCAUUUUUAUUAAAUUAAUAACAAAUCAAGGUAUAGCUUAUAUAAUAGUAUAAAUGGGUUACAUUUUAUAAAAUGAUUGGUGUAGUAGUAUUAAAAAUUAUUGUUAAAUUGGAUUUAUAAGUAAUUUUAUUAUUUAGUAAAAAUGAAUUAAGUUCUAAAUUAUGUACAUAUCGCCCGUCACUCUCUUUUUAAUAGAGAUAAGUCGUAACAAAGUAGAUUUUUUGGAAAAAUAAUCUAGAGACAC